ACUAUGCACAGCCAUAAACCUUGAUAAAAAUCCACUUUUUUAUCCGCCAGGGGACUACGAGCGCUAGCUUAAAACCCAAAGGACUUGGCGGUGCUUUAGACCCACCUAGAGGAGCCUGUUCUAUAACCGAUAAUCCCCGUUAAACCUCACCCCUUCUUGCUAUUUCCGCCUAUAUACCGCCGUCGUCAGCCUACCCCGUGAGGGAUGAAGAGUAAACGAAAUUGGUACCACCCAAAACGCCAGGUCGAGGUGUAGCGCAUGAAGGGGGAAGAAAUGGGCUACAUUUCCUAAAUAGGAAAUUACGGACUGUACAAUGAAAAAGUACACAAAGGAGGAUUUAGCAGUAAGUAGAAAAUAG
rnacentral:rRNA from 1 species